GACGGAGGAGGCUAGCGUUGUUCGGAAUUACUGGGCGUAAAGCGUGCGUAGGCGGCUUUGCAAGUCAGGGGUGAAAUCCUGAGGCUUAACCUCAGAAUUGCCUUUGAAACUGCAGAGCUGGAGUAUUGGAGAGGAAUGCGGAAUAACUAAUGUAGCGGUGAAAUGCGUAGAUAUUAGUUGGAACACCGAUGGCGAAGGCAGCAUUCUGGACAAUAACUGACGCUGAGGCGCGAAAGCGUGGGGAGCAAACAGG
rnacentral:rRNA from 1 species